rnacentral:rRNA from 1 species
GGUUUUAANGAUCUAACACUUGGCCUGUCGUUUACAGGCCUACACAUGCAAGUCGAACGGCAGCCAGGAGAGCUUGCUCUCUGGGUGGCGAGUGGCGGACGGGUGAGGAAUACAUCGGAAUCUACUCUGUCGUGGGGGCAUAACGUAGGAAACUUACGCUAAUACCUGCCAUACUGACCUACUGGGUAGAAACACAGGGUGAUCUAUCUGUGCACCUUUGCGCCGAUUGCACAUGAGCCUGAUGUCUGUGCAUUAGCUUAGUUUGUGCUGUGGGUAAAGUGCCCACCAAGGCGACGAUCCUGUAGCUGGUCUGAGAGUGAUAGAUCAGCCACACUUGGAACUUGAGACACUGGUCUCAGAACUACCUAACUGUGUGAGUGCAGUCCAGUUGUGGGAAUAUUUGUGACAANAUUGGUGCUGCAAUGCCUGGAUACCAANGCCAAUAACCUGCGUUGUGUGUAGACAUGGAAGUGCCCUUCGUGGGUUAGUUACAAAAGGCCCUUUUUUGUUUGGGGAAAAAGGAAAAUCCAGGCCGGCUAACAUACCUGGUAAUGGGAUAGCACCGAGUACCCAAAGAACUAACAGGCACCGGCUNAACUAUCCGUGCCCAGCAGCCGGCGGGUAAAUACGGAAAGGGUUGGCCAAGCGGUAAACCUCCGGGAAUUACUUGG